AGGAGGAGGCGGCGGCGUUGGUGGUGGUGGUGGUGGCGGCGUCGGCGACGACGACGACGGCGGGUCAGUCGGUCGAUCUGUCGGAGCCGGCGACGGCUCUCCUCCUUUUCCGCCUCCUCUCCGAGCCGAGGGGGUCGACUACGGGGUUUUCUCUCCCCCUUGCCGAGGAGGAGCCGUUUUCGCCACAACCGCCGCUGCUGCCGCGCGCGAUGGAGCCGGAGUCGGUGAUCGAGGACAAGACCAUCGAGUUGAUGUGUUCUGUGCCAAGGUCUUUGUGGCUAGGCUGCUCCAACCUGGUAGAGAGCAUGUGCGCACUGAGAUGCCUGCAGAGCAUGCCCAGUGUCAGAUGUCUCCAGAACACAUCAGUAAUGGAGGAUCAGAAUGAAGAUGAGUCUCCAAAGAAAAACACAUUGUGGCAGAUAAGUAAUGGAACUUCAUCUGUAAUAGUCUCAAGGAAACGACCAUCUGAAGGAAAUUACGAAAAGGAAAAAGACUUGUGUAUUAAGUAUUUUGACCAGUGGUCUGAAUCAGAUCAGGUUGAAUUUGUGGAACACCUCAUUUCACGAAUGUGUCACUAUCAGCAUGGACAUAUUAAUUCCUACUUAAAGCCCAUGCUGCAAAGGGAUUUUAUCACUGCUUUACCAGAACAAGGCUUAGAUCACAUAGCAGAAAACAUCCUCUCCUACCUAGAUGCCCGAUCCCUUUGUGCAGCUGAAUUGGUUUGUAAGGAAUGGCAGCGGGUUAUUUCAGAAGGAAUGCUUUGGAAAAAGCUUAUUGAGAGAAUGGUACGAACUGAUCCACUCUGGAAGGGGCUCUCAGAAAGGAGGUGCUGGGAUCAGUACCUGUUUAAAAACAGGCCCACAGAUGGCCCUCCUAAUUCAUUUUAUAGGUCACUGUAUCCAAAGAUAAUACAAGAUAUAGAGACAAUAGAAUCUAACUGGCGAUGUGGAAGGCACAACUUGCAAAGAAUUCAGUGCCGCUCUGAGAAUAGUAAAGGUGUUUACUGUCUACAAUAUGACGAUGAGAAGAUUAUUAGCGGCCUAAGGGAUAACUCCAUUAAGAUAUGGGAUAAAACCGGAUUGGAAUGUUUGAAAGUAUUAACAGGACAUACCGGCUCCGUUCUUUGUCUACAGUAUGAUGAAAGAGUAAUUGUAACUGGAUCGUCUGAUUCUACUGUCAGAGUCUGGGAUGUGAACACAGGCGAAGUCUUGAACACUUUAAUUCAUCAUAAUGAAGCAGUGCUUCACUUGCGGUUUAGUAAUGGUUUAAUGGUGACCUGUUCAAAGGACCGCUCUAUUGCUGUUUGGGACAUGGCUUCAGCAACUGACAUCACCUUGCGCCGAGUAUUAGUUGGCCAUCGGGCUGCUGUUAAUGUUGUGGACUUUGAUGAUAAAUAUAUUGUAUCUGCUUCUGGAGAUAGGACCAUUAAAGUCUGGAGUACAAGCACGUGUGAAUUUGUUCGCACUCUUAAUGGGCACAAAAGGGGUAUUGCCUGCCUCCAGUAUAGGGAUCGACUUGUUGUGAGUGGAUCAUCAGACAAUACCAUUAGACUUUGGGAUAUUGAAUGUGGAGCAUGUUUAAGAGUGCUAGAAGGACACGAAGAGUUGGUUAGAUGUAUACGAUUUGAUAACAAAAGGAUUGUAAGUGGAGCCUAUGAUGGCAAAAUCAAAGUUUGGGACCUGCAAGCUGCUCUUGAUCCUCGAGCUCCAGCAAGUACGCUGUGCUUACGUACAUUGGUGGAACAUUCUGGACGCGUAUUUAGACUCCAAUUUGAUGAAUUUCAAAUUAUUAGUAGUUCCCACGAUGACACAAUUUUGAUUUGGGAUUUUUUAAAUGUGCCUCCCAAUGCACAAAAUGAGACCCGCUCUCCAUCCAGAACGUACACCUACAUCUCCAGAUAACACUCUGCAAGUUGAUGGUUUUCCAAGACAUGGCAAGAGUAUUGACUGGAUGUAAGAAUUCAUAUUCUUUUAAGUGAAGAGAUGUUCAGAAGAGUGAGAUUCCACAGUCUUUGAACUACUGGACAUUUGGCUAUCACACAUCUGAAGACAAUAGCCACAGCUAAAGUUGGAAGUGGUUUUAGGUGCUGUGUAGAUGUAAAGCGGCACAAUUCUUUAUCUCAAUGUAACUUUUUCCAGUCCUCCUCCACUCGGUGGUCUCUUAAGGAAUUGACUAGGAAUUCACUGAGUUCGGCCUCUCCCUCACCACAGUGCAAGAUCCAAAGCUUCAUGAGUAAAUUGCCCAUAUACACUGAACUUACGGCUUGUUUUUCCAGGAGUAAAUCAGAUGUCAAGGAUGGACUUGACCUAAUUUAUAUUUGCUUUGCACUUUUUGUCGGACUCUGAAGAAGAAAAACAUUCUCAGUGAAACGUGGGUGCCAAACGCAUAACACGGAAUGUACAGAGCUUUGCUUUCAAAAUCGCCUCAUCCCGCAGCUUUUACAUUUCACGAUUAAUGCGGAUCCUGCUGUGUUUGCUCAGAGUCUCAGUUGGACUGGUAGAAAUACUUUGGAAUGGUUCAGUAACCUUUUGGACAAUAAUUUACUUAUUUCUGCACCUGUAAUUUGCUUUAAUUUAAAGAUUGUAAAUUGGGCUAGAUUAUCAAAACUAGAUGUACAGCAUUGUCUUUUCUUUAAAUUGUACUCUACUACAACUGUCUUUCUCUUCUCCUAAUGUUUGGUAUAGUCAGAUCCUUCCUAUGUGCUUGCCUCAUUCUUUCCAAUACUGUACCUGUAUAAGCAUGUAGAUAUAAUGUACAUAAAACAUUGUAACCUCCAAGGGCUGGAAGUCGGGGCCUUCUGAUGCUGUAUACAGAUGCCGAGGGAAGUGCUUUUAAGGCAUUCCCAGGCAUUCUUACUACUGGCGCCAUAUGGAGUUGGGAUGUAUUAGAAACAUUUUUCUGUGAAAGGGAGAGCGUUGGCAUUCAUUAGGAUUUUCUUCUUCCUUUUUAAUUGGGAAGACAUAUCUUAAUGUUAACUUCUAAACAUAAGAAGCAUUUUUUAUUAAAAAAAAAAGUUAAAAUUUCUUUCACUAUUCCACAAUGCAAUAUUUGCAAAUCAUCUUGAAACCACUGUCUAAAGUUGAAGAGUCAUCAACCCUUUCAAUAUCUGUUUGAAUUGUCCGUGAUUUCCAGGCCAGUAUGCUGAAUUGGAAGAUGAAUCGCUAUUCCACUGAGAUCUUAGAGGAGAUGAUUGGUGCACCUUACCAUUUAUUUGGAGUAACCUAGCAGUAAAUGGCACCGUGGAUUUUUUUCUAAGUAUGACUGGCCAUGGCUAUUGAUUCAGUAUCUCCCGAUUACAAAAACCUAACUCAUUCGGAAUUAUUGUCUCCCAUGUUUUUAAAUUAUUGCUCAGCAACAUUGUUCAAUAGCUUCUUUUAAUGUUCUUUAGAAGAUAUUAAUAAAUAAAAAUACUGGUUGGUCCAGGAGCAAUUGUUGGCAUGGAUGUGGGUGAUAUCAUGUGGUAUUCUGUUUGCUUUCCUUUUGCUGCCACUGCUGAUCCCCUCCCUUCUUUUAUUUCUCCCCAUUCCUUUUUUUUUUCUUUUCUUUUUUUUGGUUGAGGGGUCAAGGAAUGUUAAUAACCAAUAUAAAUGACCAAUGAAUGAAUUUUGCUUAUUUAGUGGAACAGCUUAUGGUUGGCUAUUUCACUUGCACACCACCUAGUUUGUCUGUCGAAUAAAAAAUGAAAGCACAUGCCGGAUGUGAGAAAGGUACAACUUGAGCUGCUUCUGGUUUCCAGCCUUUACCUCCCAGUCAACUCUGUUGAGCUCCUAAGUUGUUCUUCCCAACACGGAGGGAAAAAAAAGAUAUAUUACAUGGAUCUGAUCCAAUCUACAAGAUGCUUAAGAGGACACUUUCCCAUAUCAGAUGUCGAAACGGGCCACUUUUACAGAAACGGUUUUGCCCCUCCCCCCACAAUCCCCAUGUCACCUAAUAGCUGCAACAUGAAAGACUUGAUACUGCAGCGCUGAAAACAAAAAGGUAUUUACGGACAACCAUCCAUUUUUAAUGCAUGUGUAAGAUGAAAUUCAUGUUUUUCCAUGGGAAAUGAUGGUAUUUGAAGAUGCAGCCUAAACUACUUUUGAUUGUGCUUGAUGUAACGUAGCCGUGGAAUUUGUAACUGACACCCGAGGAGUUUGAUUCCUGGGAUGAAUGAUAGUACCGGCUGUAUUCUGGACUUUGUUUUGCUAAUCAUUACUGAACAGCUGUAUGUUACUGCUAGAUUAAUGUUUCAAAGCACUGGGAUAGUCUUAUUCUAACUUGUAAUUAUGUUUGCCAGUUACCUGUUUGGAAAGUUUGUGUAUGAACAGCUUAUCGGACAACUGUUGAAAUGUACAGAUAUUGUUCAUGAUAUAAGGCUUUGUACUGUGGAAUGUGCUUAAUAAAAAAAAACCCUCUAAAUUUA